CAAUAGCGUAUAUUUAAGUUGUUGCAGUUAAAAAGCUAGUAGUUGGAUUUCGGGUGGGACGCAGCGGUCUCGCAUUGCGUUUGUACUGCUGCAGCCCUCCUUCUUGCCGGGGGCGGCCUCUCGGACUUCACUGUCUGGGGGUCAGAAUCGGCGAUGUUACUUUGAGUAAAUUAGAGUGUUCAAAGCAAGCUUACGCUCUGAAUAUAAUAGCAUGGGAUAACACGACAGGACUCUGGCCUAUCGUGUUGGUCUAUAGGACCAGAGUAAUGAUUAAGAGGGACAGUCGGGGGCAUUCGUAUUCCGUUGUCAGAGGUGAAAUUCUUGGAUUUACGGAAGACGAACAUCUGCGAAAGCAUUUGCCAAGGAUGUUUUCAUUGA
rnacentral:rRNA from 1 species